CCUCGAGACUCACAGUCGAGAGGGCCUCCUAGAUCGAAGAUCCUAAGAAGCAAAUCGGUGGAUCGAGGAGCUCAUCAGACGAGGUCGGCUCGACAGUUUCAUCUGAUGCCGACCUGAGGGUAGAGAGGAUUGGUCGAGGACCCUACCAUGGCCAGAGUUGCCAAGGAGGGAGGAACAGCCUGAAAAUCGGCCUCCAACCG
rnacentral:lncRNA from 1 species